rnacentral:lncRNA from 1 species
CUAGGUGACCGUGCUUGAGCAGGGGGGUGUGGACUAGAUGAUCUCCAGAGGUCCCUUCCAACCUUGGUCAUUCUGUGAUUCUGUGAAAUUUCAUUGCUACUUGACACUACUCUUAAGUUGGGACCUAUCCUGAUUGUCAAACCAAUGAAAGAGACCUGUAUUUCUUCUUAAAGAAAUAAUUGAGUAAUAUUUUGCUAAUCUGACUAAUGUAACUCAAAAGAUUAUAUUUUGUGUCUAUAAUAUAGUCAAUGCCAGUGUUUUAGAGCUCUGAGUAAUACAUAAUUAGUGCUUGUUACUUUUUUAGGCUCUAAGUUUGUAAUAUUAUGGUUUUUGGCAAAGGAGUCUUCACACCUGUGCUGUUUGCAUUGAAAUUCUGGAUAACAUUAGCGUAACUGCUCUGUUCCCCCUACAGAAACUUCAGGAAAAGAAAAGAACCAAUGGACGGACUUUUAAAAGUAUCUUUAAACUUCAGUAUCAAGGAAACUGAAACUGACCCAGCAGGUUUUGCAUCUACUGAUCCCAGAGAGCAACUGAAUUUAUUCCUUCCUACCCACUGCUGCAGAAGCAAAACUUCAGUUUUUCUAAACUGAUGCCCGUGUCUACUCCAGCUCAGUUCUAGGAACAAGUUACUGUAUUUUUUUCUACUAGGAAAUCCAACCUAAAGGUAUGACUCUUAAGUAGUCUGUCACCCAGAACUUCUAUGUCAUACAGUGCUAUCUACAUUCCAUAUAGUGAAAAUAUCCCACAUCCACACCCCAAAUAGAUCCAUAAAUUCUUUAAAACCUUAUUUCACAUUAACAUACGCACACAAAAUAUGGGCCUUACUAUGUUCUGGACCAUCAGACUUUGUGAAUGAGUCAUGCAGAAUCCCCUCCUAGAACUGCAGGACCGCCACUAAAGGUGUGCAUGAGGAAUGUCUCAACAGGCACUGAAACUCUCCAUUGAUUUUGGUGGGUAUCUGCUCUGCUUCCCCAGCCCGACUUCCCCUUUGAAAGAAUAAUUAAACAGCCUACACUGAUUAUCAUGUAAGUGAUUAUUGUUUAAAAGGGAUUUAAAUUAUAUAGCGGUAAAGAAGAACUAGUUAGAUGGAAUCUACUACCAGUGUUUUGAAAACAUUGCUUUAGGUAGCAAGUUCUUAAGGAGUAAUUUGUCCCAGAUCUGGACUUAUUUCCUCAAUUUGACAUGUACUCUCUUUUGAGGGAUGGGGAAAUCAACCCAACAUCUGUAUUUAUAAGAAUCUCUUCUAAAUUUCUUGUCUGUUUGCUUCAUAUAUUUCUGAAUUCUGUUGUUUUGUUAAAGCAGUAGUUUAUGAGUGCAUGCAGAAAUAUCUGGGCAGGGGAAGGGAGUAAAAAGUAGCCAUCAUAAAGAAUAAUCAUGUGGAGUACAAACAAGGCACUGAAUGACUUUGCUGCUUAUUUUUUGUGUUGGUAGGAUUUGCAGUCUAAAAAGCUUUCACAGAAUCACAGAAUGACCAAGGUUGGAAGGGACCUCUGGAGAUCAUCUAGUCCACACCCCCCUGCUCAAGCACAGUCACCUAGGGCAUAUUUCCCAGCAUAUUUCACGCGUCCAGACGGGUUUUGAAUAUCUCCAGGGAAGGAGACUCCACUACCUCU